GUGCGAGACCGAUAGCGAACAAGUACCGUGAGGAAAAGAUGAAAAGAACUUUGAAAAGAGAGUUAAAGAGUACCUGAAACUGCUGAAAGGGAAGCGAAUCGUAUCCAGUGUCUAUAAUCUGCGGCAUAUUUCAUUGGCGGCGGUGCGCGUGCUUUUGCGUCGGAAGCGGCUUUUGUUGCUCUGUGCUUUUGCUGUGCGUGGUGUUGCUGGUGCCCUGUGUUGCGGUGGGACGUCAGAGUCAGUUUGUAUGCUGCGGGAAAUGGCUGCCGAGGAGGUAGGUCGAGAUUUCGGUCUUGGCUGUUAUAUCUUGGUGGUUUGUUGUCGUGGUUGAGACUGAGGUGCCUACAAUGUGCUUUUGAGUGCGCCGGGUUCUCAUUUGGUGGACUGUUUGGAUAGCUUGCUAUGCUUGUGGUUUUUUCAUCGGGUGAUUGAGUCUGGUGGUAACUUGUUGCUGUUCGGGACUUUG
rnacentral:rRNA from 2 species